UUCGAUAAGUCAUAACGACUCUCGGCAACGGAUAUCUCGGCUCUCGCAUCGAUGAAGAACGUAGCGAAAUGCGAUACGUGGUGUGAAUUGCAGGAUCCCGUGAACCAUCGAGUUUUUGAACGCAAGUUGCGCCCAAAGCCAUUCGGCCGAGGGCACGUCUGCC
rnacentral:rRNA from 1 species